rnacentral:sRNA from 1 species
GAAANGUUAAGUCGUAACAAGGUUUCCGUAGGUGAACCUGCGGAAGGAUCAUUACAGAAUGAAAAGUGCUUAACUGCAUUUUUUCUUACACAUGUGUUUUUCUUUUUUUGAAAACUUUGCUUUGGUAGGCCUUCUAUAUGGGGCCUGCCAGAGAUUAAACUCAACCAAAUUUUAUUUAAUGUCAACCGAUUAUUUAAUAGUCAAAACUUUCAACAACGGAUCUCUUGGUUCUCGCAUCGAUGAAGAACGCAGCGAAAUGCGAUAAGUAAUAUGAAUUGCAGAUAUUCGUGAAUCAUCGAAUCUUUGAACGCACAUUGCGCCCUUUGGUAUUCCAAAGGGCAUGCCUGUUUGAGCGUCAUUUCUCCCUCAAACCCUCGGGUUUGGUGUUGAGCGAUACGCUGGGUUUGCUUGAAAGAAAGGCGGAGUAUAAACUAAUGGAUAGGUUUUUUCCACUCAUUGGUACAAACUCCAAAACUUCUUCCAAAUUCGACCUCAAAUCAGGUAGGACUACCCGCUGAACUUAAGCAUAUCAAAGCGGGGGGGGAAA